UACGAAGGGGGGCUAGCGUUGCUCGGAAUCACUGGGCGUAAAGCGCACGUAGGCGGAUCUUUAAGUCAGGGGUGAAAUCCUGGAGCUCAACUCCAGAACUGCCUUUGAUACUGGGGAUCUCGAGUCCGGAAGAGGUGAGUGGAACUCCGAGUGUAGAGGUGAAAUUCGUAGAUAUUCGGAGGAACACCAGUGGCGAAGGCGGCUCACUGGCUCGAUACUGACGCUGAGGUGCGAAAGCGUGGGGAGCAAACAGG
rnacentral:rRNA from 1 species